rnacentral:lncRNA from 12 species
AUGCAGUUGGACGAAGUACUUUUCAUUUCAAAGUUCCACAAGAGCUUUUUUUUUUUUUUUUUUUUUUUUUUUUUUUUUUUUUUUUUUUUUUUUUUUUUUUUUUUUUUUUUUUUUUUUUUUUUUUUUUUUUUUUUUUUUUUUUUUUUUUUUUUUUUUUUUUUUUUUUUUUUUUUUUUUUUUUUUUUUUUUUUUUUUUUUUUUUUUUUUUUUUUUUUUUUUUUUUUUUUUUUUUUUUUUUUUUUUUUUUUUUUUUUUUUUUUUUUUUUUUUUUUUUUUUUUUUUUUUUUUUUUUUUUUUUUUUUUUUUUUUUUUUUUUUUUUUUUUUUUUUUUUUUUUUUUUUUUUUUUUUUUUUUUUUUUUUUUUUUUUUUUUUUUUUUUUUUUUUUUUUUUUUUUUUUUUUUUUUUUUUUUUUUUUUUUUUUUUUUUUUUUUUUUUUUUUUUUUUUUUUUUUUUUUUUUUUUUUUUUUUUUUUUUUUUUUUUUUUUUUUUUUUUUUUUUUUUUUUUUUUUUUUUUUUUUUUUUUUUUUUUUUUUUUUUUUUUUUUUUUUUUUUUUUUUUUUUUUUUUUUUUUUUUUUUUUUUUUUUUUUUUUUUUUUUUUUUUUUUUUUUUUUUUUUUUUUUUUUUUUUUUUUUUUUUUUUUUUUUUUUUUUUUUUUUUUUUUUUUUUUUUUUUUUUUUUUUUUUUUUUUUUUUUUUUUUUUUUUUUUUUUUUUUUUUUUUUUUUUUUUUUUUUUUUUUUUUUUUUUUUUUUUUUUUUUUUUUUUUUUUUUUUUUUUUUUUUUUUUUUUUUUUUUUUUUUUUUUUUUUUUUUUUUUUUUUUUUUUUUUUUUUUUUUUUUUUUUUUUUUUUUUUUUUUUUUUUUUUUUUUUUUUUUUUUUUUUUUUUUUUUUUUUUUUUUUUUUUUUUUUUUUUUUUUUUUUUUUUUUUUUUUUUUUUUUUUUUUUUUUUUUUUUUUUUUUUUUUUUUUUUUUUUUUUUUUUUUUUUUUUUUUUUUUUUUUUUUUUUUUUUUUUUUUUUUUUUUUUUUUUUUUUUUUUUUUUUUUUUUUUUUUUUUUUUUUUUUUUUUUUUUUUUUUUUUUUUUUUUUUUUUUUUUUUUUUUUUUUUU